rnacentral:tRNA from 1 species
UUUAAACCCUAAAUAUGAUUUAAAUUCUCAUAUUA